UGAAGACAACUGGAUGUUUCAAGUUCAGAUGAUGAGAAAGGUCUCCAUAAAAUUCAAGCUUUGAGGUAUGAAAACAGUGUUCAAAUAAAGCUGCUAGAGGUGCUUUCAAACACUGCCAAAAACGAAGAUGACAUGAUGAUAAUCUAAUAGACUUGGAGCCAGCAUCUGACAGUGAGUCAUUUAGAUAUGAGGUGUUUGUGCUCAUUCAAGGGCAAAGUUUGGC
rnacentral:lncRNA from 1 species